UUUGGGGUUGUGGAUCAUCCCAAAGGCAGCGCUGGCAAGGCUGCUGGAGGUUAGAGAAGCUCUGCAGAGGUGCAACACACAGCGUGUCUUCUCACCUGCAAGUCUCGAGGUGCUUUACCAAGGUGAACUGGAGCCAAUAGGCUGAACAUGGGGCUGGACACUUGGAAUCGCUGCAGUCUAAUCCUGUCUCUGACACUGACCCGCUGGAUGCCUUGGGCUCCAUGGAACCUUUUGUGACAGAUCUGACGUGCUUGGAUAGAAGCUCAGCUGAAAGAACACGAACAACACGACAAACCCACUUUGCAACAUGCCUAUGGCCAAAUUCUGCCCUUGAGUGCACAUGCCUGGUUCCCAAUGAAGGCAACAUGGGCAACAACAGAGUGAACUCCCCUCUGCCCUGGGAUGACUCGUGUGUGUUUGGCCUGUUAUUAUGUUUGCUCAGACUGUUGCUGACUUAGUCGUUUCAUGGUUAUUACAUGUUUUGA